UGAGUAACCUGCCCUUAACUCUGGGAUAAGCCUGGGAAACUGGGUCUAAUACCGGAUAUGACUCCUCAUCGCAUGGUGGGGGGUGGAAAGCUUUUUGUGGUUUUGGAUGGACUCGCGGCCUAUCAGCUUGUUGGUGAGGUAAUGGCUCACCAAGGCGACGACGGGUAGCCGGCCUGAGAGGGUGACCGGUCACACUGGGACUGAGACACGGCCCAGACUCCUACGGGAGGCAG
rnacentral:rRNA from 1 species